rnacentral:lncRNA from 1 species
AAGGCAACUCCGGUAUAGGUGACCCUCACAAAGUCAUCUAAACCCAAGGAUUAUAAAAAAUUGCUAGAAAAAGAAAAAGAAAAAGAAAAAGAAAAAGAAAAGAAAAAGAAAAAGAAAAAGAAAGAAACUCACCCACUAAUAGUUGGUUCAGAGGUAUCUGGCACUGAACUCGGUAGGGCGGAUUAUGAUCCGAUCCCCCACAACUACAGUUGGGUCCAAUAAAAGGG